rnacentral:misc_RNA from 1 species
AAGUCGUAACAAGGUUUCCGUAGGUGAACCUGCGGAAGGAUCAUUAUAAAUUUUCUCUAGGGUUGUCUUUAUAGAUGACUCUUUGGUGAAUUGUGAACUGAAUUUUGGAUUUUUAUUUUUUUUAUUCUUCUCCUAACAAGAAAAGAUAAAAGAAAAUAACCAUUCAAAAUUGUCAUUUGAUGUCUGUCGUGUCAUGUUAUUAUACAAUGUUUAACCAAGAUAACUUUCAGCAAUGGAUCUCUUGGCUCUU